rnacentral:rRNA from 1 species
CGGGUCCUACGGGGGGCAGCAGUGAGGAAUAUUGGUCAAUGGGCGAGAGCCUGAACCAGCCACGUCGCGUGAAGGAUGACGGCCCUAUGGAUUGUAAACCUCUUUUGUCGGGGAGCAAAAGACGCCACGUGUGGCGUUCCGAGAGUACCCGAAGAAAAAGCAUCGGCUAACUCCGUGCCAGCAGCCGCGGUAAUACGGAGGAUGCGAGCGUUAUCCGGAUUUAUUGGGUUUAAAGGGUGCGUAGGCGGGACGGUAAGUCAGCGGUAAAAAUGCGGAGCUCAACUCCGUCGAGCCGUUGAAACUGC